GGGGAAUAUUGCACAAUGGAGGAAACUCUGAUGCAGCGACGCCGCGUGAGUGAAGAAGGUCUUCGGAUCGUAAAACUCUGUCCUUGGUGACGAAAAAAAUGACGGUAUCUUAGGAAUAAGCACCGGCUAACUCCGUGCCAGCAGCCGCGGUAAUACGGAGGGUGCAAGCGUUACUCGGAAUCACUGGGCGUAAAGAGCACGUAGGCGGCCUUGCAAGUCAGAUGUGAAAUCCAACGGCUUAACCGUUGAACUGCAUUUGAAACUGCAAGGCUAGAGUAUGGGAGAGGUAGGUGGAAUUCUCGGUGUAGGGGUAAAAUCCGUAGAGAUCGAGAGGAAUACUCAUUGCGAAGGCGACCUGCUGGAACAUUACUGACGCUGAGGUGCGAAAGCGUGGGGAGCAAACA
rnacentral:rRNA from 1 species